CGGCGGGCGGGCAGGACCUCGCGCCCCCCACCCCCGCCGCGCCGACGGGUAACGGGGCGCCUCGCGGCCUGCGCUCCCCUCAGCCGCAGCGCCGGCCGCCCGGAGGUUUGUGACCUGGAAGAGGUGCACGAGUGGCUCGCCUGAAAACCCUCUCUGCAUCAUGAUUUUUGCUUGUGCUGUCCAGACUGAAAUUCAUUCAGGUAUGUCCAGUUACACUGCAAUCAAACACCUCUGCAGUUACACCCCAAAACAUAACUAGCAGGGUUGGUUUCAUGAUUAAAAGAGAACUUGUGUGGUACUGCUAGCCAAAAUAAGCUGCAUUUAGUCUUUCUGAGAGAUGGCAAAUGGAAAAUCUAAGGAAUUACCUUUGGAUUUGACUCAGAGGCAAUCCUGCUUUUCCUGCUGUAAACGACACAGUGAGUGUGCACCCACAAACACCGACCCGAUGCUAGAUGCAGCUCCAUGCCCACACAGCCCGGGCUGUGAUUCCUGUUUGCUUCAGCAGCCCAGUCUCUGGUGUGCUGUGGGCAAUGGCUAAUUCUCAGUUUUCGUGGGCAAUGAAGAUAGAGCCAACACUAAACAUUCUAUAUCUCUUGGACCCACACAGCUGGAAUCUUUUUCUGCUGUCAUUUUCUCGUCUGUGUAUUAGAAAAGUAAGGAAUAUGUGAAGGUGCAUAUAUUGUAUAUGUAACAUAGAAUUAUAAAGCAUUAUUAAUUAUCAAAUCAUUAAUCACAGAAUUAUUAAAUACAGACUGGAAUAAAAUACAGGCAUUUGUGUUGCAGAGAAGGCUGGUGUGCAAUGGGUGUAUGACAUGUGGAUCAAAUACCUGCUUUGUGCAUAAUGUUUUUCAGAAUUGGCAGGCUCCAGCUUGUACUCUGUUUGUCUUUUGAUCAGGCAUGCAUGCAGUAUAAAAGCACAUAUAACUUUAGAAAAAUGUCAAUAAAAUUAACAAUGAGAUAGCAAUGAAAUGGCAAAAUACUAACCAGGGAUACAUUUCUUGAGUGUUUUACAAGAACAGUUUUCUUAUCUUUUACUGGCACCACAAUUUUUAUCCUGUAAUCCACUCACUAGUACUCUGCUCAGUUACCAUUUCAUUACAUACUUUUAAUUAUAUAUAUAUAGCUCAUACUCCUUAUAUUAAAUUUUGUGGUCCAAUAGACUUGUUGUUCUAAUUUGGGCACAUUUUUUUCUCUAAAAUGUAAUAUGGCUUAAAACUGUUUUCUUUGUUUUAAAGCUGUACUGAAUUUACUGUUGCUGUGCCCAUUUGUGUUUUCUAAUUCACACCACUGCGAGCUUCACUGAAGCAACAGUCCCUCAAUUUUCUUCUAGUAAGUUGCUCAUAGGGAGUCUGGGGAGAGGCAGGCACAAUUCCACCUCUGAGGACCACCAAGGGAAGAUGACAACAGAGAACUUUCAAUAGCUGUUUCAAGUGUAUUUUCUUUAUUAAAACUGAUUAGUAUCUAAAUAUGUAGUACAUUUACCUUUCUUGGAAAGUAAAGGCAGCCACUGGAAUAAUGAAAACCUUGGCCAUCGUCAGCAGAGAGUCAGUUUGAACUAAAAAAACAUUAGCUCCUUUUAAUGAUGUACUGUAGCUUACGCUUUUUUGCUACUUAUUUAAUGCAGAGUAUGUCAAUUAGAGACAAAUCUGUCUACUGAAGAUGACAUCUUUUACUCUUUGGAUUUAGAGACGAAAUAAGGCUAGAGAAUUUCCAUGAUAUUAGACUGCCUCAGAAAAGCCCUUAUUCUAGAUAAAUCUGUUUAGCUAUAUCGUCUCAGUGCCUUUGCCCGUGUUUUCAAAAAAAAGGUGAUCAACCGCUCCCAAACACUAGCACGCUAUUAACAACGGCUAGUUGUGACAGGAAGGGAGAAAAAAAAACCUAUGCAAGCCUCUAGCUGGAUUCUGGCAACAGCGCUAACUGAGCAGGAGCAUCACAAAGGAAUUACAGGCCAGACAACUGGAACAGGAGAAACAUUAGGGCAGGAAUUACAAAUGGAAGGAAAUGUUAGAUUUCAAACAGAUGCUAGGCAGCAACCUGCCAGAACCAAAGCCCUCAAGGGUCAGUCCUACAGAGAAUGAGGACAUCUAAAGAAAACCCAAGGCAACACUGGCUCUCUGUUAUCUGAGAACAUCCACAAUGCUUCCGACAGUACUCCUGCGCAGAAAUAAUGUACACCUGUGAAAAACCACAAAGAAUCGGCAAAUACAGCUAGCGGAUUCACUUGCUGGCUCGGACAGCAUCUGAAGAAAGAACUAUUUAAAAACACAAGAGGUGGUGUUAUAAUGAGGAAACCAUGGAGAGCAGAAAGCUUAUGAUUAUUGACAGAAGUUGAUUAAGAAAUGGAUUAUUGUCUGUUAGGAUGUUGGAGCAUCUCCUGUCACCUCUAGCCUACGUAUCUUUAUGUAAAUUUCCUUUAAUUGAGGUAUUCAUUUACAAUCAUUAUUUUCACUGGUAAUGUGCUUUAUUUGCAUUUAAAAGCAAAAAGAGGAAAAAAAUUAAACACGACUAGCUGACCCCUGCCAUGUGACAAAGGCUUUGCUUUUUGUCACUCUGACCCAAAUGGAUUAGGGCCAGGAAAUAAAGGUCAGUCUCUUACCAGUACCCCUGUGUGUCACAUUUUUUAUUACAUGGAGUUUCCAAUAAAAAUAUUCCAAUUUGCGUCAGUAAUUAUGCAUUCUUUAUGCAUUUUCAUGUAGUUUUCUGAGUUUAUUUUGAAUUCAGAAAUUACCUUUGAGUGCCUAACCUAUUAAAAAGGAACCCUUUGUGAAAUAUCCUUCAGCAUUUAGAUGUAAGUGGCAGAUUUUUGUAGCUGUACAUGCUCUUUUUUGCCCUUUUAAUUAUAAGAAUCUACCUUUUCACAGUAGUUCCCCCAUCACUUGAGCCAUAAACCACCAGGACCGUGGUUGGAUUACUUUCCUUUGUGAAUUUAAAAGUUAUUUCCUUAGUGGGGUGCUGUGUGAGAGCUGUAUUUUAUUGCUGAAGCAGCGCACGGGGCAGAUGGAGUACGAGCCAGUCUUCCCCGUUACUGGAUGGCGCCUGAGUAAAUCCGGGGAGGACGUACCCCGGGUGCUCCUGCAGCACCCAGCACCGCGCCGAGACGCUGGGAGUCAGGUUCUAGCCACCAGCCGUGUCGGGGAGCUCACCCUCCUGCGGAAGUUGUUUGGGGAGGGCAGUGCCCGUUCCCGAGAGAGGCAGAGGGGCGAGGGUCCCUUGCGGCCGCUGAGGCCAGCCGCCUCGGCCGAGGGCCGGCCCCACGGUACCGCCGCGGGGAGACCCCCCCGGGUGGCGGGGGAUGCCUGGGCACGGGGCUCCGGUGGCUGUUUGUGCUCAAAGCGAAGAUAAGCUGCCGUAAAAGUUUCUGGUUUAGUAAUUUUAAUGAUAACUUUUUAAUCCGGUCAUUAUUUUCUUUGAUUGCUAAUACCUUGACCUCUGGUGACAGCUGCUGCUUGUGCCUGCUAAACUUUAAUGCAGGCUACAGUAAAGAACAUUAUGAUUAUUUGAAAAGGCAGGGUGUAAUGCAUUUCAGAUUAACAGUGAAAGAAAAGCUAUUCAAGUUAGAGGUUCACUUUGCCAUAUCACUCUCUAUGCUGCUUUCCUUAUUAUCAGUACAAAAAAAUGAAAUGAGAAUAGCACAUCUUUUAAUUUUCUUCCACUAUUACCUCUUGAUUUGCAUUCAGAGCUCCCAGAAGAAAUACCGCUGAAUUCAGAAGUAGUCUAUUUAAGAUGCGUGGUGUUUAAAAAUUGCUGGAAGAGGUUAAGGUACUGUAUAUUAUGCAGUUGACCUUACUAAGAAGCUAUGUUAACAAUUUAGUCUUAUAAUUUUCUGCCAUUACAUUUUGUUACUUUUUUUUUUUUUUUUUUUAAGCAAAAUUCAUUAUCUCUUUUGGUACCCCUGCAGGUUAAACCUUUUGAUUUCUCUCUAACUUAUUUUGUAAGAUUUCUAAAUUGUAUUUAAACUGCUUGUACUUAAAAGCUUGUUUUGCCCGUCUCUUUGAAAAUAGGGGUUUUUUUGUCUCUGUCGCUCUCUUUGUACCUGGUCUGCAGAGGCUGUGCGCCUUCACAGCAUUUUCCUUUGGAGGAAGAAACCCAAGCCCUCCAUCUGCAGAGUCCUGCAAAUAUAUUUGAACUUUUUUAUCUGGUACUAUCACGUCUUUGUGGCUGAUCAAGUUUGAACAAGAUGUCCACGGAAAAUAUUUUGGAUCCUGCCUUUACCAAACAGUAAGUAGCCUCCUGGUCUGCUGGAUUCAGCCUCCCAGGAUUUAACCUUUGUUCCCUGGCUCUGUCUAGCCAUGGCCAGCACUGGGCCUGGUCAUUGAGUGAAAGGACAAAUCCGAACAGAGCAACAGUAGGAAAAUGUGCCAGGGGAGGAGUGGAGCUGUGCCCCGUGUCGCUUCAGGCUCCGUAGCCCUAAAUAGAGGUGUUUGUGCUCGGUGCUGCUGCUUGAGCAAAAAACCGUGUCAGCAGAGGAACCCUGCAGUGCAGGACGUCUUCCAAAAUGCCCGAGGUGUCACCAUCCCGGCUCCGUGGUCCCCGGCAGCGGAUGUUUAUUAUGGACACUGCCUCCUGGUCACCCAUCAUCUAAAAACUACAGCUAUGACUGCUGGUAAAUAAAACCGGGUCAGGGGCUCUGGGGUCUGCGGCCGAGCAGUGCGGACCAGCCGUACGGGCGCUGUACGACCCGUGACCCUCAAGCACUGUCGUUAUUUUGAACCAGUUUGUAUUUUUUCAGUCUGAGGUGUUGAAAUAGGGAGGUGUUGAAAUGCUGUGGUGCAGCAUUUACGCUGUUGAGGCAAGCGGGGCCGAUGGAGGUGUGGAGCUUGCUGGGACCCGCUGGAGGGCUGCGGGGAGGGGACGGAGACGGGCCGGACAGGCUCGUCUGUAUUUCCCGCGGGCAGUGGUCCCUGGCGCGUCCCCCCACACACAAUGGCUAGUUGGCAGGGGCCAAAAUUAGGCCGAACAGUGUGCUGCAACCAAAGCAGGAUGGACCAGCAGCAGUGCAGGUCUCUUUUGCUGGGCUGUGCUGGCACAGCAUCUGAGCCCGCGCUUACAGACCGGCCCCGUCAGCAGGUGAGGGGUAUCUCUGCAUUGGAGCAGGAUCAAGUUGUGACUCGCAGCUGCAAGCACAGGGUGAAGACAGUGUUUCAGCAUUUCCUGAGAUCCUAUUCAUUCUUCACACUGUUGCAACAGUUGCUUAGACUUCAUACUGCAAGAAUAAUAUAUCAACAGCUGCUUUCCUGUUGUAAAGUCAACACGGGGAGAGAGAGAAGCCCAGUAUGGAUCCCAGAGCCAGAAGGUAGAUUUUUUUUCAUUUAAUCUCUAGGUACAUAGACUGUGAUCAGCACUAUAGCAACUAUCUGAGCCACUCGAAUGAGUUAGAUACAGAGAUAGCAACACUUGUUAUUUAUACAGCACCCUUUAUUGGAAAAUUUAAAAAUGCCAGAUACCAGUUUCAUUGAGUAGGUAAACUGCAUUCAUUUGUUGAUACAGAGGUGCCAUAAAACCUCUCUUUGUAUCACUGGGAUGUAUCUACACAACAGAGAUUGUCUGGCAACAAAUAAGUAAAACAGUUAGAGGUUCUAAGGAAUAAAAGAAUAAACCAAGGGGAUAAAAACAUACUAAAUGGAUGAAGAAUCGGUCCGUGUGCAGAGCCAAGCUGAAACCUGGCAGCUUUAUAAACCAGUUAACACAGAAAUAAAUGAAAGUCCAAACAACAGGAACAAAUCUGGAACAAAUAAAAUCAUGAACUCAUAAA